rnacentral:tRNA from 1 species
UUGGCUAUGUUGUAACGGCAGCAUGGCAGAUUGUGAUUCUGCCAGUAUGGGUUCGAGUCCCAUUAGCCAAC